CCUACCCUCCAGCCAAUCAGAGCGAGUGAGAUGUUUGUCUGUGUGAAAAUCAUGUGAUCGCCUCUGUCCGCGGGCGCAAUAUCUCUGCGAAUGAGGGUUAGCUGCUUUCGGAAGCAAACGGAAAAACUGCUACGGACCUGAGGCUGCGAUAGGCAGAGGAUAUUUAUUGAGAAUAAUUUGCAAACCAGGAUCCCAAUGCAAGUUCUCCAUUAAGCGGAGUGAUCAGGAUCUGAGUAUCAUUGACACUUAACAGUGAAAGGAAAGAGGUUUAACCAUUCUAUGCAUGGGAGAAUACUCCUGGACUCUUUUAUACCCCCCACAGGACCUUUCGUGAUCUAAUCCCGUAACAGUGUGAGCUGCUACAAUGCAUGUGCUAGUAAAAGCAUAAGAGGACAGAUGAGAUGAGUGCAUGGCUGGAGCUAUAACUUAAAAGGUUUGGAUUCCUGAGGCAUUGAGACUGUUUGUUUGUUUCUGGGGAAGGUGGGACAUGCACAAGCUUGAACAAUUGUCCUGGGCAGAGCUGGGACAGAUAUUCUUGUUGAUGCUUUUGCUAGUUCCACUGGUGAGGAUUUAAACUCGUAUGACAGGGGAAUGGGAACCAAAGUAUAGCUUUAGCAGUAAAAGACUCAAAUCAGCAAAUGGGAUUUGAAAUUAGUUCAUGAUGUUGUCGGUGGCUGAAAGAUUAAAAGAAAGAAGGAUUAAUCAAGAUCAAAUCUCUUUUCAUACAUCAGUCCUGUGAUCCCAGGAAUUGGUCUGGUGAACCUUCUUUACGAUCAUUCAGUAGCCAGGCCAUCCUUCCUCUGGAAAGGAGAACAAAGGUGCACAUGACUCCAGGUGUGGUCUCACCAAGGCCCUUAUAGAAAGAUAUCCCUCUUCCUGUACUCGAAUCCUCUCACAAUGAAGGCCGAAAUAUCAUUUGCAUUCUUCACUACUUGCUGCUGCCUGUUUCCUAAAAGAGAAUAGGAGAGAAACACGGAACUAAAUGGGGUCAGACACUCGGGUAACAUUGUGUUCAACAAUGUCCCCAUUGUAUCGGUGCUGGCCAUCAAGCACCUAUUGAAGCUAGGCCCGUUUUCUGGCACUCGGUGUGUAACCUGUAUUUUGGUGCAGUGGAUGAUCAUCUCAACACUUCUUCAAGAUUGCAAUGGUUCCUGCAUCUAUCACCAUUUCAGAUGCUGCCAGAUCUGCUGAGUAUCUCUAUCAUUUUCUGUUUUUAUUUCAGAUUUCAGGUAUUUUUCUGCAUCUUAGUCCUUCAGAAGGAUCAGAGGGUAUGGAGAGAAAACAGGAAUUGGAUUCAUUUUCAGAUGAAUAAAAUGCCUGCCCUUCAUGUCUGUCCAAACUCUAUCUCUUUUUGUAGUUUUGGACAAACGCUGACUGUUUCCCUUCCCUGAAGGACAUUUAAUGAACCAGUUCAGUUUUACUGAUAAUCCAGCAGUGCCCCUCAGUGUUGCAUCCACAAUUGAUCAGAUUAAUUUCUGAGUUUGACAAUCUUUGUGUGUGUUCUUCUGGUUUCUCUCUCUCUCUCUACUUUUUUUUUCUUCAGUUUGAAAUUGUGAUUGCAUUCAGAGAAAUCAAACAAAACCACAUCCAGAUCUGACACUCAAUCUGUUUGUCGUAACCUAAUUAUCUCAGGAUUUUGAACAUUAAAGGAAGAAGCACUGUUCACACCAGGGAGAAAUGCGUAUUGUCUGUGUGUCGAAGAUUCUGUGAAGAUUCAUCUGAAAUGCCCAAACACCAGCACGGUCACACUGGGGAGAGACUGUGGUAAUGUGGGGAUUGUGGGAAGGGAUUUAUUUACCCAUCCCAGCUGGAAAUGCACCAAUGCAGUCACACUGGGGAGAAACUGUUCAUUUGCUCUGAUUGUGGGCUGGGAUUCACUCAGUCAAGCAACCUGCUGAAACACCAACGAGUUCACAGUGGGGACAGACUGUUCACAUGUUCCGAGUAUGGGAAGGGAUUUGCUCACUCAACCAACCUGCUGAGACACCAGCGAGUUCACUCUGGGGACAGACCAUUCACUUGUUCUAUGUGUGGAAAGGGAUUCACUCAAUCAUCCCAACUGUUAACACACCAGCAAGUUCACCACAACCACAUUUGAAGGAUUUUGCCCUUAAAUCAAGGAAUGAACUUUGAUCUUUGGGCUGUUUGUACUGGUGUCAUUAGUCCCUGCUCAAAACUUGAUCUUCUCUUGGGAAAUAAGGUAGGGCAGGUGACUGAGGGGUCAGCAGGGGGGACAAUAUUUUGGGGCCUAUGAUUAUAUCUCUAUUAGUUUUAAAAUAAUUAUGGAAAAGGAUAGACUUUGGUCGAAGAGUCAAAGUUUUAAAUGAGGCCAAUUUUGACACUACUAUGCUUCUUAAAAGCACAGUAAGACCGCCUAUGUGUGGGAAUGCACGAGAUGGGUGAGAUACAAAAAAGUAUUUUACAUCAGUAUUUACUGUGAUAAAGGAUACAAAAGCUAAAGAACUUAGAGAAAUGAAUGUGUAUCUUGAAAAGUUCCAUGUUGUAGAGGAGGUGGUGCUGGAUGCCAUACAGAGCAUAAAGGUGGAUAAAUCCCCAGGACCUCUUCAGGUGUAUUCUCGAACUUUGCGGGAAGCUAGGCUUGCGAUUGGGCCCCUUGCUCAGAUAUUUGCACCAUUGACAGUCAUAGGUGAGCUGUUACACUGGAGGUUGGCUAAUCUGGUGCCAUUGUUUAAGAAAGGUGGUAACAUAAAACCAGGGAACAAUAAACUUUUAGUGAGCCUGAUGUCAGUUGUGGGUAAGUUGUUGGAGGGAAUUCUGAGGGAUAGGAUUUACAUAUAUUUGGAAAGCGUGGACUGAAUGGGGAAUAGUUGACAUGGCUUUGUCCAUAGGAAAUUAUGCCUUACUAACUUGAUUGAGUUUUUUUGAAGAAGUUAGAAACAAGAUUGAUGGCAGAGCGGUGGAUGUUUUCGAUAUUCCUCAUGGUCGACUGAUUAACAAGGUUAGAUCACAUGGAAUCCAGGGAGAGCUGGCCAUUUGGAAAGGCCUUUGACCUGCAGUAUGCUGCAAGGAUUGGUACUUAGUAACUAUAACUCCUACAUUCACAUCCAAAUCAUCUUUAUAAAUGACACACCACUGGUCACAGGCCUCCAGUCGACAAAGCAACCCUCCACCAGCACUCCGUCUUCUACCUUCAAGUCAGAUCUGUUUCCAAAUGACUGGUUCUCUCUGUAUUCCAUCUGAUCUGACCUUGCUAAUCAGUCUACUAUGAGGAACCUUGUCAAACGCCUUAGUGACAUCCAUAUAGAACACAUCCACCUCUUUGCGCUACUCAAUCCUCUUUGUUCCUCCAUCAAAAAAAAUCAAGUCAGUGAGACAUGAUUUCCCACACACACAGCCAUGUUGAUUAUCCCUAAUCAGUCCUUCCCUUUCCAAAUAUUUCAAGUACUAUCCCUCAGGAUUCCUAGAACGACUUUCCCACCACUAAUAUCAGGCUCACUGGCCUAUAGUUCCCUGGAUUUUACUUAGCACCUUUCUUAAAUAGUGGCACCACAUUAGCCAACUUCUGGUCCCUCACCUGUGACUAUCGAUGAUACAAAUAUCUCAGCAAGGGGCCCAGCAAUCACUUGCCUAGCUUCCCUCCGAGUUCUCGGAUACACCUGAUCAGGUCCCAGGAAUUUAUCCACUUUUAUACGUUUUAAGCAUCACUACCUCUGUAAUAUGGAUAAUUUUCAAGAUGUUGCUAUUUAUUUCCCCACAGUCCAUAUCUUCCAUAUCCUUUUCUGUAGUAAAUACUGAUGCAUAAUACUUGUUUUAUUAUAUUCCCCAUUUCUUGCAAUUCCACACAUAGGAGGCAUUGCUGCUUUUUAAGGGGCCCUAUCUCUCCAUCGUUAUCCUUUUUGUUCUUAAUCUAUUUUUAGAAUCCCACUGGAUUUUCCUUAAUACUAUUUGCCUAAGUUACCUCAUGUUCCCUUUUUGCCCUACUAAUUUCCCUCUUAAGUAUACUAUUGUCAUUAUACUCUUGUAAGCAUUCACUCGAUCUCUGCUGUCUAUACCUGACAUGUCCUUCCUCGUUUUUCUUGACCAAAACCUUGAUUUCUCUAGUCAUCCAGAAUUCCCUAUACCUACCAGCAUUGUCCUUCACCCGAACAGGAGUAUACUGUCCCUGAACUCUCGUUAUCUCUUUUUUUUGAAGGCUUCCCACUUUCUAACUUUCUGUUUUACCUGCGAACAUCUGCCCCAAUCAACUUUUGAAAGCUCUUGUGUAAUACCAUUAAAAUUGGCCUUCCUCCAAUAUAGAGCUUUAACUUUCAGAUCCGGUCUACUCUUUUCCAUCACUAUUUUAAAACUAAUAGAAUUAUGGUCACUGGCCCCAAAGUCCUCCCCUGCUGAUACCCUAGUCACCUGUCCUGCUUUAUUUGCCAACAGCAGGUCAAGUUUUGCACCUUCUGUAGUCGGUACAUCACAUACUGAAUCAAAACAUUUUCCUCUACACUCUCAGCAAACUCCGCUCCAUCCAAGCCUU